rnacentral:rRNA from 1 species
AGAUUGAACGCUGGCGGCAUGCCUUACACAUGCAAGUCGAACGGCAGCACGGGAGCAAUCCUGGUGGCGAGUGGCGAACGGGUGAGUAAUACAUCGGAACGUGCCCAGUUGUGGGGGAUAGCCCGGCGAAAGCCGGAUUAAUACCGCAUACGACCUACGGGUGAAAGCGGGGGAUCGCAAGACCUCGCGCUAUUGGAGCGGCCGAUGUCGGAUUAGCUUGUUGGUAGGGUAAAAGCCUACCAAGGCUACGAUCCGUAGCUGGUCUGAGAGGACGACCAGCCACACUGGGACUGAGACACGGCCCAGACUCCUACGGGAGGCAGCAGUGGGGGAAUUUUGGGACAAUGGGGACGAAAGCC